rnacentral:rRNA from 1 species
CAGCCAUCAUUUAAAGAAAGCGUAAUAGCUCACUGGUCGAGUCGGCCUGCGCGGAAGAUGUAACGGGGCUAAACCAUGCACCGAAGCUGCGGCAGCGACGCUUAUGCGUUGUUGGGUAGGGGAGCGUUCUGUAAGCCGUUGAAGGUGUCCUGUGAGGGGUGCUGGAGGUAUCAGAAGUGCGAAUGCUGACAUAAGUAACGAUAAAG